rnacentral:tRNA from 1 species
GGACGUAGCUCAGUCGGUAGAGCAACGGACUUUUAAUCCGUAGGUCCUGGGUUCAAGUCCCAGCGUCC